GCUCAGUGGGUUAACGAUCUGGCGUUGCUGUGAGCUGUGGUGUAGGUCGCAGAUGCGGCUCGGAUCCCGCACUGCUGUGGCUCUGGCGUAGGCUGGCAGCUACAGCUCCGAUUAGACCCCUAUUCUGGGAACCUCCAUGUGCCGCAGGAGUGGCCCAAGAAAUGGCAGAAAGACAAAAAAAAAAGAUCAACUUGAAUGAGAAAUUUGCAUAGUCGCAUGACCAAUGGUCACACACAUAGGGACAUUGUUUUUCUAGCCCCCAAAUUAUGGAUGGUGCCCCAAUAUAGGUAUACAUGGUAUAAGCCUAUGGCAGAAAGAAAGUCAUUUCUCAUCCAACUGUUUAAGCCUAGUUUCUCUUGAAUAGUCACACCAAGAUGUUGUGAAUAUAUUGUUAUGGCUAAAGCGAUAUAAUAGAAGCCCCCAAACCAUGGUGAUUUAGCUUUUCAAUGGGUUAUGAUUUUGCCUUUUAAUUGCCAAUUUGGACUUUUACCUUUUUUUUUUUUUUUUUUUUUUUUAAAUAACUCUCCACAGGUGUUUGUAAGCUGUUUGCACAGCCUGGGAAGACAUGAGGCUGGGCACCGGCUGGGGAAGGCUUGGGACAGCAGCCCUCCUGGCCUGAAGUUAAACUUUGGCUAUGAGGAGAUGAGUCUGGCAGGUGCACAGGGAGUUCCCCCUCCAGACGGGGUGGCGAGGACCCAAGAGAAGAGAGGAGAGAAAGGGGUCGGAAUUUGUUUUCCAAGAGUUCCCAGAACCUCACUUUUCCAGCAUGCCAUCAGUGGUACCAGACAAGAGAUUCACAAGGAAAAAGAAAAUUUCAACAGAGCAGCAACUGUCAAGUUUCCAGGACAAUCUCCACCUUCAUAG
rnacentral:lncRNA from 1 species